rnacentral:rRNA from 1 species
GACGAACGCUGGCGGCGUGCUUAACACAUGCAAGUCGAGCGGUAAGGCCCUUUCGGGGGUACGACGAGCGGCGAACGGGUGAGUAACACGUGGGUGACCUGCCCUCCAGCUCUGGGAUAAGCCUGGGAAACCGGGUCUAAUACUGGAUAUGACUCCAUGACGCAUGUUGUGGGGUGGAAAGCCUUGUGCGGCUGAGGAUGGGCCCGCGGCCUAUCAGCUUGUUGGUGGGGGAUGGCCUACCAAGGCGACGACGGGUAGCCGG